UACAGAGGGGGCAAGCGUUAUUCGGAAUUAUUGGGCGUAAAGUGUGCGCAGGCGGCCGCGCAAGUCGAGUGUGAAAUCCCCGAGCUUAACUUGGGAAUUGCGCUCGAAACUACGUGGCUGGAGUGUGGCAGAGGAAGGUGGAAUUCCACGUGUAGCGGUGAAAUGCGUAGAGAUGUGGAGGAACACCGAUGGCGAAGGCAGCCUUCUGGGCCAACACUGACGCUCAUGCACGAAAGCGUGGGGAGCAAACAGG
rnacentral:rRNA from 1 species